rnacentral:rRNA from 1 species
AGCGAACGCUGGCGGCAGGCCUAACACAUGCAAGUCGAACGGAUCCUUCGGGAUUAGUGGCGGACGGGUGAGUAACACGUGGGAACGUGCCCUUUGGUUCGGAACAACUCAGGGAAACUUGAGCUAAUACCGGAUGUGCCCUUCGGGGGAAAGAUUUAUCGCCAUUGGAGCGGCCCGCGUCUGAUUAGCUAGUUGGUGAGGUAACGGCCCACCAAGGCGACGAUCAGUAGCUGGUCUGAGAGGGUGAUCAGCCACACUGGGACUGAGACACGGCCCAGACUCCUACGGGAGGCAGCAGUGGGGAAUCUUGCGCAAUGGGCGAAAGCCUAACGCAGCCAUGCCGCGUGAAUGAUGAAGGUCUUAGGAUUGUAAAAUUCUUUCAGCGGGGACGAUAAUGACGGUACCCGCAGAAGAAGCUCCGGCUAACUUCGUG